rnacentral:rRNA from 1 species
CUCCAUGAAGCUGGAUUCGCUAGUAAUCGCGCAUCAGCCACGGCGCGGUGAAUACGUUCCCGGGCCUUGUACACACCGCCCGUCAAGCCAUGGGANCCGGGGGUACCUGAAGUGCGUGACCGCAAGGAGCGCCCUAAGGUAAAACCGGUGACUGGGGCUAAGUCGUAACAAGGUAUC